UCGCAGCCAGAACGCACACGCAUACAUACACAUUUCCUCCAAGUUUGAACGCACACGCAUACAUACACAUUUCCUCCAAGUUUUCAACUUUUAUCUUUGGUUUCGGCUUGAAGAAUCUCUCUACAGUUGCAUGGCUGUUUUCUCAUUUACCGAAAGCCAUGGCCCAUGAGGCGUCUUUUCUACUGAGAGUUCGAGUUAAAAAAUACUGACGGACGCUUUGCGAGUCGGUCGAAUGGCAAUCGUUCACCAUGGUUGCAGAAAAAGAGGUCUCACGGGACACCAAGAGACACCAGUAUAUAAUCCAGGGAGGGUGCUGUCAGCUGUGGAGUCCCAUCCAUCUUCCCCUCCCCAACACGCAUAUCAGUUCAGUUGGCAAGAAGAGAGGUCCUCCUCUUCUUGUUUUUGUUUUCAGAGAGAGAAGAAGAAAGGCGGUAAGGAUUAGGUGGAGGGGCGAUGGAGGCGGGAGCAGGGGGAAGAGCCAUGGUGCUGAUGAUGAUGGUGCUGGUGGUGGCGACGAUGACGGGAUCCCACAGAAGGGGGGUCGGCGUUCAGGCACAGCUGGAUUGUGCUUCGAAGCUGGUAUCUUGUGCGAAUGCCAUCAGCAACACGUCGAUUAAGCCGGGGAAAGAAUGCUGCAGCGCCCUCGCCGACGCCGUCAAGAACGAGCUGAAGUGCCUCUGCGACGUCUAUAACAGUCCCAGCAUCUUCCAGAACUUCAAUAUCAACGCUACUCGGGCUCUCGAGAUCCCCGGGCUGUGCGGCGUCUCUGGCGACCUCAGCCGUUGCAAGUCCGUGGCACCUGCUCCCUCUCCAUCAUCUUCCGCGGCACCAAAUCCAGCUUCAGGUUUGUUUUGGACUCGUUCUCUUUAAUGGAGGUGGCUGGCCCAUUUUCUCCUCAACAACUCGGAAUGUUCAAUAAAAAACAGAUACUGUAUGUCAGCAAUGGUGUGGAGCGAAAGACAGCAAAAACAUUCAAUAAAGGCUUUAAUUUUAUGGGCAGAGUUGGUGUUCCUCUCAAACUCUUAAUUAAUGGAACAAUGAUCACACAAGUCGCCGGUCUUAGUUGUGGAGAAAAGCUUGAACCUGCAAUCUGCCUGAUCUAGUUGGAAGUGCUUAGGCUUUGGAGUUCUAGUGAGACAGCCAGGGAGAUGAGUGUUCUUCUUGGCUUGACUGAACUUCUUAAGUGCUGUUAAGAAAGAUGUUUUUACCAUUUGCUGGUGCCAUUCUAAUUGGGUCUGUUGAAACAUGGUUGAUACAGGUUCAGAUAAUAAGCAGGGGAAUGGAGCUUUGAGGUUGACAUGGUCAUUGAAGCCUUUGUGGGCGCUUGGUUUAUUCUGGAUGUCACUCAUCAUGGUUUGAGCUGAUACAGUGAUACCCUUUUCACCUACAUGAAAAGAAUCCAUUUACAGAGUAGCCUUCAUUCAUCUUUGGGCUGGUCUACUUUGGAGAGUGUAACUUGAGGUCUUUUCUCUUUGUUUUAUUUAUUAUUGUAGGGCAUCACCUUAUGCACUGUCAUUUAUGUUUCUACUAGUGGCUAUGGUUCAUGUUGGCAUUAGUCUUGCUUUUGAUGCUUCUUGGUUGCUUUCUGUUUGUUGUAAUAUUUAUCAUUUGGAAAUUUACUUUGUGAACCAAUAGUCAUGGCUUUGCAAAUAUAUUUUAGAAACUGAGUUCAUGAAUC